AUUGAACGCUGGCGGAAUGCUUUACACAUGCAAGUCGAGCGGCAGCGCGGGGCAACCCUGGCGGCGAGCGGCGAACGGGUGAGUAAUACAUCGGAACGUGCCCAGACGUGGGGGGAUAACUACUCGAAAGAGUGGCUAAUACCGCAUACGAUCUAAGGAUGAAAGCGGGGGAUCGCAAGACCUCGCGCGUUUGGAGCGGCCGAUGGCAGAUUAGGUAGUUGGUGGGGUAAAGGCUUACCAAGCCCGCGAUCUGUAGCUGGUCUGAGAGGAUGAUCAGCCACACUGGGACUGAGACACGGCCCAGACUCCACGGGAGGCAGCAGUGGGGAAUUUUGGACAAUGGGCGAAAGCCUGAUCCAGCCAUUCCGCGUGCAGGAUGAAGGCCCUCGGGUUGUAAACUGCUUUUGUACAGAACGAAAAAAGCUCUUUCUAAUACAGAAGUCCAUGACGGUAUGUAAGAAUAAGCACCGGCUAACUACGUGCCAGC
rnacentral:rRNA from 1 species